UCAUACUCUUCCGUCCGCGUAAUUUUCGUUAAAAGGGGUUCAAAGUUUUUGCUUUACGUACUAAUAUAUAGAUUGUUCAUUGUAUUUUCAUUAAAAUAAUCUUACCUACUUUUCUAAUUUCAAGAUGUUGUCAACUAACUAUAUGCCAUGUCGAUUGAGGUGACAACGGACAUCUGUCAUGUACUUAUUGUAAAUUUAUGUGAAAUUUAUCAAUGUUUUUAUGAAUGAUCACUUUGUUGGUGCAACCCGUCAGUAGAACAGAAAACAAAAACAUAAAAUUACCUAAUAAGUAUAAGUAGGUCACACGGUCAAAUACUUUUUUCUUUGAUAAAAAUACGAAAUGACAUUUUCAAGUUUUCCAACACAGUUUCCUUUUACGAACAAGCUUAUCGAAGUGAAACGAAAACUGUUUAUUAUUUCCCUUACAAGUUAGAAUAAGAGUUUUCAUACGAUUUCAUAGUUUUUUUAGAGGAAGUUCUGAAUGCCGUUCACAGGAAUUAAAAUGUAAAAAAGCAAAUGUUUUACAGCGAACACAUUGACAGGGAGGGUAAUGGUAGUGUGUUUUCAAUAUAAGUCGAUGUAUACAAAAAGUGUUGAGUUAUAAGUCGGACGUAUUGGAAAUCCGCACGGGUCGGUUUGAAGUCGACGUGGCGUAAAGGAAAAGACACUUGGUGUAUUUCCCUUUAGGCGACCUUGCGGCUGUUCGGAUCUGCCAGGGCCAAUGAAAACUCGCUUUGAAUUAGGCACUGUUAAAAGAACGAAUUGAUAAUGAAACAAAAUGCUCAAUUUGGACAUCGUCGAGCGAAAACUUUGGAAUGAAUCAGCGAACUGCGCUGGAAAUCGGCACAUUUUUUCUGCGGAAAGCUCUCGCGUUUAAUUAGGCUUGGUGUCGGCCGAUAUUUACGAGGGGCAGAGGUCGGCCUCCUGUUACUGUACUCCGGAGAUCCACUUGGCACGCCUCCGUUGAGUAGCCAUCGAAACAGGGCCGUAUCCAGUGGGGGGCUAUUUGCCUAAUUUAUUAUCUUUGUUGCUGACCGUGUCGAACGAAUCAGAUGAGUUUAUUUAUAAAAAAAAUAUAUUAUAUGUGUGAAUACAUUAGUCAAAAUAAAUUGAAGUAUUUAGGUUA